AGAGGUGGAGAAGAUGAAGGUCCAUACUGUACUGCAGAAGAGAAGAAGCUGUGGGGGACAGAUGGCAACAUAGUGGUUAGAGCUGCUGCCUUUGGACCCAACGGUCACAAGUUCCAAUCCCCACUCCAGCUGUUGUACCCGUCAGCAAGGUACUCCCUCUAAAUUGCCCCUGUAAAAUAACCCAUCUGUAUGAAUGUAUAAGUAAUUAUAAGUCACUUUGGAGAAUAGUGUCAGCUAAAUGAAUAAAGAUUAGAAGCCUUCCCCA
rnacentral:lncRNA from 1 species